AGAAGAGCUGCAUUUGAUAUUUAUAAACUCAUAACCUGUGAGGAAUGGAGAUGAAGCAAAAAGUAGAGUGGGCUGAAGCUCAGAAGAUUGUGCUAAGCAAAGACCUUGUGCUGCAGCCAAACAACAGCUGCAAUUUCUGGCAGUUGUUGAUCGAAAUCGGCAACUCUAUGAAGGCCCUGCUUGGUACAAGGCCAUUUACAGGUACUGAUAUUGUUGGCUUCCCUUGCUUGCCAAACAUACUGAAUCUGAGGUUACAGAAACUCCUCUAGUUGUGCCUCUUGAUUGUGAAUGGAUUUGGCACUGUCAUAGGCUCAAUCCGGUAGACUUCUCAGAUAAAAUCUCGUUCAACCUUUCUGUGUUCUAGUGUGAGUUCUAUACAUUCAGUCACAAUACCAAGCUACAUUACUUCGAUGGUUUUUCA